UCUAAUACUGGAUAUGUGACGUGACCGCAUGGUCUGCGUCUGGAAAGAAUUUCGGUUGGGGAUGGGCUCGCGGCCUAUCAGCUUGUUGGUGAGGUAAUGGCUCACCAAGGCGUCGACGGGUAGCCGGCCUGAGAGGGUGACCGGCCACACUGGGACUGAGACACGGCCCAGACUCCUACGGGAGGCAGCAGUGGGGAAUAUUGCACAAUGGGCGCAAGCCUGAUGCAGCAACGCCGCGUGAGGGACGACGGCCUUCGGGUUGUAAACCUCUUUUAGCAGGGAAGAAGCGAAAGUGACGGUACCUGCAGAAAAAGUUUUUUGCUAACUACGUGCCAGCAGCCGCGGUAAUACGUAGGGCGCAAGCGUUAUCCGGAAUUAUUGGGCGUAAAGAGCUCGUAGGCGGUUUGUCGCGUCUGCUGUGAAAUCCGGAGGCUCAACCUCCGGCCUGCAGUGGGUACGGGCAGACUAGAGUGCGGUAGGGGAGAUUGGAAUUCCUGGUGUAGCGGUGGAAUGC
rnacentral:rRNA from 1 species